rnacentral:tRNA from 1 species
CAAGGGGUAGUUUAAAGUAGAAUGCUAGCUUUGGGAGCUGGUGGUAGGGGUUAAAGCCCCUUCCCCUUGA